rnacentral:lncRNA from 12 species
GAGAGCCCAUGCGAGGAUUCCUCUGAGGAACCCUGUCAGGGACCGCGUGAGGGACCCUGUGAGGGACACGCUGAGAAGCCCCCGUGAGGGGGCCUCAAGAGGGACCCCCAUGGCUUAGGAACAGGUCAUUUUGGAACCAAUUCUGCACUUACAUUAAUGUAAAUGUCGCCUCCUCUUGCUAGGCUGGACACUGAGAGACAUCGUGUUGACACUGGAGAAAUCUAGGACAAAAGAUAGCUGCACUACACAGAAGGAGAAGAUUGUUGAGACAGUUCCACACAUCUGAGCCUGCAGAACCUUGCUUAAACACCUAUUUGGGAAGGAUGCUGUCAGGGGUUAACCUGUGUAAUGCAUGCUCUUCUAAUGGUGAGUGCUGAGUUUGUUCUGUCAUAUUCCCUGAUUUCAUUCUUUGAUGUACCUACCCACUG